GCCGGAGUAGCUCAGUUGGCAGAGCAGUGCUUUCGUAAAGCAAAGGUCGGGAGUUCGAAUCUCCCCUCCGGCUCCA
rnacentral:tRNA from 1 species